UGACAUGAUGCAUUCAUAGAAUCUCGUUCGUCUGAAUCCCCCUGUUGAGAUGUGCAUAUCUGACAAGG
ensembl:snoRNA SNORD30 Small nucleolar RNA SNORD30